AAAACCUCAGCACCCCACCCAAACAGUCAGAAAAAGGUGCAAGCCCGAGCGGUCUUUUACCCUCUGACAGGAAAAGGAGCAGCUGUCAGCAUGUGCUAUAGGACGUUACACAUAGGAUCAGGUGCUGACAUGGAUGUGUGCCUUACAAACUACGGUCACUGCAACUACAUAUCGGGGAAACAUGCCUGUAUUUUCUAUGAUGAGGUCGCAGUAAGAAACGGGAAGAGGACGAGGGAGCCAACUCCGUGGUGGGGUUGUUGCCAGUAGGUGGAGUGAUGAGUAGCCAACGUCAGGGUGGUGCUGAGCCGUCUUGUAGCUGCAAAGCGAGUAGCUCCAGUCUAAUUGGAGGCAGCGGGCAGGCUGGGAGGGCACGGCCCUGCUCCAUCAUGGCAGCUACAUCAAACUGGGCUGCCUCCAAUUUGUCUUUAGCAUCACUGAGUUUGCCAGUAAGCAGCCCAAAGAGGAGCAGGCCACUACACCUGCUGCCAGUUGCACAAGCACCAGCAGCAGCAGCAGUGUCAUCAGCACCACCCUCACCACCACCGCUAACACCUCCACACCACCACCACCCAGCACCGCC
ensembl:lncRNA